GAUGAACGCUAGCUACAGGCUUAACACAUGCAAGUCGAGGGGUAACGAGAGGAAAGCUUGCUUUCCUUGUCGACGACCGGCGCACGGGUGGGUAACGCGUAUCCAACCUGCCCCCAACUAGGGAAUAACCUUGCGAAAGCAAGACUAAUACCCUAUAAUUUCCUCAGAUGUCAUCUGACGAGGAAUAAAGAUUUAUCGGUUGUGGAUGGGGAUGCGUCUGAUUAGCUUGUUGGCGGGGUAACGGCCCACCAAGGCAACGAUCAGUAGGGGUUCUGAGAGGAAGGUCCCCCACAUUGGAACUGAGACACGGUCCAAACUCCUACGGGAGGCAGCAGUGAGGAAUAUUGGUCAAUGGGCGGAAGCCUGAACCAGCCAAGUAGCGUGCAGGAUGACGGCCCUAUGGGUUGUAAACUGCUUUUAUACAGGAAUAAAGUUAGCCACGUGUGGUUAUUUGUAGGUACUGUAUGAAUAAGGACCGGCUAAUUCCGUGCCAGCAGCCGCAGUAA
rnacentral:rRNA from 1 species